GGCUUUAGCUCAGUGGCAGAGCACUUGCCUAGCAUGUAUGAGGCACGGGGUUCGAUCCUCAGCACCA
rnacentral:tRNA from 1 species